GCGCCCCGCGCCGGUCGGUCCUCUCUGCCCCGCGCGCCACCACGUGGCGGUCGUCCGCGCGGAGACGCGGCCUCGGUCCCUCCUGCGGCGGCCACGCGCGCCGGGGACACAGCGGCCCCACAGCCGAAGUGUUUCAGCAAAGAGGACUUGCUCCUGCCUCUCCGGUCCCCAGCUGGGCUCUGCCCGCCUCCUGUUCCCUGGCUUCUUCUCAGCUGUGACAGGCCUCAGAGCCUCCCAGUCGCUGAGGAGCUCCCUGGUGAGACCUGGUGAGAUSCUGCUUCUGCCUCUCUGACUAGCGUCCAUGGCCCUGGCGUGCUGCUUGGUGGAGGCCUCCUGGAGCCGAGGCUGUCUCAGCCCAGCCUCUGCUUCCRCGCCCUGCUGGGGAGAGGCAGUGUCAGGGGCCAUGUGCGUGCCAGCCGGGACCACGGCGUCCUCUCCU